UGCUCAGUGUUUGUAUAAACAGCCGCAGUAACUUGACUGUGCAAAGGUAGCAUAAUCAUUAGUUCUUUAAUUGGGGGCUGGAAUGAAGGGUUUGACGGGGAUUGGCUUUUUGGAUUACUUUUUGAAUUUUAGUUUAUUGUGAGGACGCAGUAAUUUAUUUAAUUGACGAGAAGACCCCGUAAAGCUUAAGGGUGGUGGUUUUGUUAUUAAUUGCACUUGUUUUGUUGGGGCAACAUGGUGAUAAAGUAAUGGCUAUUGUUUUGUAUUUUUUUAUAGUCUUUUUUUGAUCCAAGGGUUUGUGAGAUUAAGAUAAGCUACUUUGGGGAUAACAGCGUAAUUGUGUCGGAGAGUGCUUAUUGAUGACAUAGUUUGCGACCUCGAUGUUGAAUUAAGAUACCAUUAGGCUGUAGUAGGUUUAUUAUGGGGGUCUGUUCGACCUUGAAAUUCUUACAUGAUCUGAGU
rnacentral:rRNA from 1 species